rnacentral:rRNA from 1 species
GACAGAGGUCCCGAGCGUUAGGCGGAAUCACUGGGCUUAAAGCGUGUGUAGGCGGAUUGGUAAGUACCUUGUGAAAUCCCACGGCUCAACCGUGGAACUGCUUGGUAUACUGCUUAUCUUGGGCCACUUAGGGGUUACCGGAACAAACGGUGGAGCGGUGAAAUGCGUAGAUAUCGUUUGGAACGCCAAUGGUGAAAACAGGUAACUGGGAGUGUGCCGACGCUGAGACACGAAAGCCAGGGGAGCGAACGGG